UACGUAGGGGGCAAGCGUUGUCCGGAUUUAUUGGGCGUAAAGAGCUCGUAGGCGGUCUGUCGCGUCGGAUGUGAAAACCCAGGGCUCAACCCUGGGCCUGCAUUCGAUACGGGCAGACUAGAGUGUGGCAGGGGAGACUGGAAUUCCUGGUGUAGCGGUGAAAUGCGCAGAUAUCAGGAGGAACACCCAUGGCGAAGGCAGUAGACUGGGCAUCUCCUGACGCUGAGGCGCGAAAGCGUGGGUAGCAAACAGG
rnacentral:rRNA from 1 species